rnacentral:tRNA from 1 species
AAGGGCGUAGUAUAAUGGUAGUAUAGUGAUCUCCAAAAUCAUUUGUAGGUGUUCAAAUCAUCUCGCCCUUG